rnacentral:lncRNA from 1 species
AUGCUGCCUCUGUUGUCAACCAGGUCAAAACUCCUGCAUAAUUCCUCAUAUACAUCUCACUUCCCAGCAGAGAGAAACGAAACCCCUUUCUGGACCUUAGAUGAGCAUGAGGGAGAGACCCAAUUUCUGAUGCUUCUAGGGAGGAGCAUGGCCUCAACAGAGGAAGAAGGAGUGUCCUGCUCUCAGUGUAAUGGUUGCUCUUCAGCAUUUGGCCAAGGUCAGACAGGUGAGAGAGAAUUUUUUCUGAAGUUUCUAGUGUCCCUAAUAAAUUUUUUAAAUUAUAGUAAAGGGCAAUAACUUUUUUUAACUAGCAAAUACAUUUUUAGUGUCAACAGAAAAUGGUGCCUGUGAAUUUGGAUGUUACUCUGAUUUUUUAUGAUUGCUUUUGGCUUCUAUAUUUGGUGCAAGGGGUAGCCAUGUCCCAGAAAAAAAUAUGCUUGCUCUUUUUAACCAAAUUCCAUAGGCUGAAAUUUAUCCAUGGUAAAUGUUUCACAGUACAGUAAAUUAUGCAGGAUGUUCUACACAAACAUCCUUUACUCUCAGAAAUUAAGAUGAGCACUCAGUAGCACAAGUACAUGGUAUAGCCAUCCAAUUGUUUGUGUUUCCCCCAGGAAUUCAACACUUUUCACAAAUAGCUACACUUUACAGUUCUAUUACACAAGUGCUGUGACCCCACAGGACAACCACAAAGGUAGGGUGAACACCUCUCGUUCUGUUUUAUAGGUACUUAGCACUUAGGAAAUGCAAGCUCAAGGCAGGCUGUGAGGAACAUCUUCUCUUACAGAAGUCUUUCUGGAAAGCCAAUGUAAAUUAUUUGCUCAAAUAUUAGUGGUCAGUCAAGCGGUCAGUGGCCAAUGCAGCCAUUGGGUUGGCGGGUUCCCUUGCUCCAUGGUAAAGUCCCUCUGCAAUAGCCCAGCCUCUCCCUGGUUUGUUUUUCUGUUUCAUGUUAGGCAUUAAACCCUUUGCUAUGACAUGCCAUUGCCAGUGUGCCAAAUCCUGAGCAAAUCACAUCCUCUGUUUUUCUGUUGCAGAUUUGUGAGAUAAUCUAUUAUAGAUUAAUCAUUUCAGUCUUGUGGUGCAAUGUCAAAAAUAAACUGGGGUUAUGAAGCUGGAGGGGAGCCACUUGGGGGUCGUGUGCUCUCACUGACGCUCCUUAUUUGACUUUGAAAACAGCGUCAUGACAAGAUUUUUGAAGCUGGUUGUUACCCCAUGGAAUCCAAAUCACAAGGUAAAAAUGCUGUGGAGUAAGUUUUCAUCUUCACAAAUAUCAGCUCAGUGUUGAACUGUAAACGAUUUUCAAGCUAUCGCCUUCCCUCUCCUCACAACAUGAAACAUAUCUGGGUUGAUCCAUUACAUCUCUUUAGAAUAUAAUGGAUAGAUGGCAGAAAAAUAAACAGAAUAAAAUAAAAAGCCAACCCCUUUUAAGGACUGAAUAUCUGCUGGAGAUGGAGGUAUCCAACAUAGAAAAAUAAUACAGGCCAGGAACGCAGCCAAAUAUACUGUAAGAAAAUAUUAAUUUGCAUAACUUUAAAUAUUCUCUAACAUUUCAUAAGAUCCCAAAUGUUGAACAGUGAGUAAUUUGUCUAAUACUGCAGUUCUUAUUGCCCUCCCAGCUGAAUCACAGUAAGUCCUUGGUGUCUCCAAACCAGAGCA